AUGUGUGGUAAAUUACAAGAAGAAAAUCCCAUCGGAAAACUGUAUGAAGACUGUUCUCAAGUAUUUCAGCCCAGCUUAGCAGAAGGGAAGGGAGAAGGCCCAGGAGGUACCUUCCAUCGACUGUACGCAGUGUUAACAAUCCUAAGAAAUCCUGGCUUGAUGACAAUAGCAGUCAGCCAACUGCCAGAGAAGGCAAAAUGAAAUGAGAACCUGAUUGAUUUGUCCCUGUUUUCAUCCCUCCUAUGCAUCUGAGAUUCUUCCUCAGAGCGAGCAGUGUUAGUGAAUCCCCACACCAUCCUCUCCCAGGUUCCUGAAUUCAAAGUCCCCAGCUUUGUAACAGUAUCCAGCUC
rnacentral:lncRNA from 1 species